GAUGAACGCUAGCGGCAGGCUUAACACAUGCAAGUCGAGGGGUAUAGGUUUUCGGACCUAGAGACCGGCGCACGGGUGCGUAACGCGUAUGCAAUCUACCUUUUACAGAGGGAUAGCCCAGAGAAAUUUGGAUUAAUACCUCAUAGUAUUAUGACUCGGCAUCGAGAUAUGAUUAAAGUCACAACGGUAAAAGAUGAGCAUGCGUCCCAUUAGCUUGUUGGUAAGGUAACGGCUUACCAAGGCAACGAUGGGUAGGGGUCCUGAGAGGGAGACCCCCCACACUGGUACUGAGACACGGACCAAACUCCUACGGGAGGCAGCAGUGAGGAAUAUUGGUCGAUGGGCGCAAGCCUGAACCCGCCAUGCCGCGUGCAAUAUGAAGCAUCUAUGGUGUGUAAACUGCUUUUGUACGAGAAGAAACACUCCUACGUGUAGGAGCUUGGCGGUUUCGUAAGAGUAAGGACCGGCUAACUCCGUGCCGGCGGCCGCGGGUAUUCGAGAUGGUCCGAGCGUUAUCCGGAAUCAUUGGGUUUAAAGGGUCCGUAGGCUGUUUUGUAUGUCUGUGUUGAAACCCCCAUCGCUCAACGGUGGAACGGUCAUUGAUACUGCAAGACUUGUAUUAUUAGGAGGUAACUANNAUAUGUACUGUACCGUUGAAAUGCUUAUAGACUACUUGUCAUACCAAUUGCGAGGCAGGUUACUACUAUUGGGUUGACGCUGAUGUACAAAACUUGGGGAGCGAAGAGGAUAGAUACCCUGGUAGUCCACGCCGCUAACGAUGGUACUAGCUGUUCGGAGCAUCUGAGUGGCUAAGCGAAAGUGAUAAGUAUCCCAGCCUGGCGAGUACGGUCGCAGAAUGAA
rnacentral:rRNA from 1 species